rnacentral:rRNA from 1 species
UGUGGUUCAUGACUGGGGUGAAGUCGUAACAAGGUAGCGCUAGGGGAACCUGGCGCUGGAUCACCUCCUUACACGA